AGUCGAACGGGGUCGGAACUUCGGUUCCGGCUUACGUGGCGCACGGGUGAGUAACACGUGGGAAUCUGCCCAUCUAUGGGGAAUAACUGCGGGAAACGCAUGCUAAUACCGCAUACGCCCUACGGGGGAAAGGAGGGGAUCUUCGGACCUUUCGCUAUUAGAUGAGCCUGCGUAAGAUUAGCUAGUUGGUGGGGUAAAGGCCUACCAAGGCGACGAUCUUUAGCUGGUCUGAGAGGAUGACCAGUCACACUGGGACUGAGACACGGCCCAGACUCCUACGGGAGGCAGCAGUGGGGAAUAUUGGACAAUGGGCGCAAGCCUGAUCCAGCCAUGCCGCGUGUGUGAAGAAGGCCUUAGGGUUGUAAAGCACUUUCAGGGGUGAGGAAGGGUGAUAGCUUAAUACGUUAUCAUCUUGACGUUAGCCCCAGAAGAAGCACCGGCUAACUCUGUGCCAGCAGCCGCGGUAAUACAGAGGGUGCAAGCGUUAAUCGGAAUUACUGGGCGUAAAGCGCGCGUAGGUUGUUUGUUAAGCGAGAUGUGAAAGCCCCGGGCUCAACCUGGGAACUGCAUUUCGAACUGGCAAGCUAGAGUACAGUAGAGGGUGGCGGAAUUUCCUGUGUA
rnacentral:rRNA from 1 species